AAACGGUAACAGGAUGUGCUUGCACAUCGCUGACGAGUGGCGGACGGGUGAGUAAUGCUUAGGGAUCUGCCUCUGUGUGGGGGAUAACUAUUGGAAACGAUAGCUAAUACCGCAUAAUGUUUACGGACCAAAGGGGGCGUUUGCUCCCGCGCAGAGAGGAACCUAAGUGAGAUUAGCUAGUUGGUAAGGUAAUGGCUUACCAAGGCGACGAUCUCUAGCUGUUCUGAGAGGAAGAUCAGCCACACUGGGACUGAGACACGGCCCAGACUCCUACGGGAGGCAGCAGUGGGGAAUAUUGCACAAUGGGGGGAACCCUGAUGCAGCCAUGCCGCGUGUGUGAAGAAGGCCUUCGGGUUGUAAAGCACUUUCAGUUGUGAGGAAAGGUUAGUAGUUAAUACCUGCUAGCUGUGACGUUAGCAACAGAAGAAGCACCGGCUAACUCCGUGCCAGCAGCCGCGGUAAUACGGAGGGUGCGAGCGUUAAUCGGAAUUACUGGGCGUAAAGCGCACGCAGGCGGUUUGUUAAGCUAG
rnacentral:rRNA from 1 species